UCUUUGGCCGUUGACUUGUUCCUUUGUUUCUGUAUUUUCUCUCUUGGGACCAUAAGGUCUUGACUGUAUCUUCCUGAGGCCCCUACCUGAACACAACCUAUUUUAAUGGAAGAAUCUAAAGGUCACUCACACUAAAAUUACAAACGGCUAACAAUUAGUAAAAGUCUUUUCUUCCAGGAAUGAAGUUCAAAGAAUUAAGCUUUAGGAGUUCUCGCAGCUACGUCGGAUGGUGGCUGUGAAGGGCCCAUCAUGGCCCGGCCCACAGAGGGUCCUCAGGGGCACCAUGUCCCCUUCAGACCCUCAGGGAGAAUCCGGGAGAUAGAAUAUCUACCAUGAUGUGAAAAGAGAACUAACAAAAUCCACCGGACUGAAAAACAUCCUUCAUCUAUUUGAAGGCAUUUAAGCCUAUGACUUAUAUCCCCCGAAAGAUGUCUACAAAUGAAACAAAUGUGUCUGUAAAGCAGAGAAAGGAGUGUCCAGUUUUAUGAUAUCUGCAGCGUACAUAUGACUAUAAAAAAGAGCGUUGCUGCUGCCGUGCACUCGUGAAUUUUCCAUCCGGCAUGUGUGCCCAACCAACAUGGAAGUAUCAGUCAUCACCAGUGCCAGGGGCUGGCAAGAAUCCAUGAAAGAGAAUCGCCACUAAAGAAAAAGUAUGGGACACAAGUCCUGCUUGAACCACGGAAGCCAUCACACUGCUUGCUGGCUGCGGACAUGUGUCCAGAACGCACCCUUGCCCUUUCAUUCAGUCCCUCUUCACUGUUGAAAUAAUUCAUCCAGUGGAAUAGAGCAUAUGGCACCUUCAA